rnacentral:rRNA from 1 species
GCCCGUCGCUCCUACCGAUUGAGUGGUCCGGUGAGGCCUUGGGAGAGCUAGAUGAACUGAUUAAUCAGAUCUUUUGGCUUGAACUUGGUCAAACCUUAUCACUUAGAGGAAGGAGAAGUCGUAACAAGGUUUCCGUAGGUGAACCUGCGGAAGGAUCAUUC